rnacentral:lncRNA from 1 species
GUGAAGUCAUUAUUAGGUCAGGUAUACUACCCUCCUUUCGAAGUAGCAAAGUCCAACAGACAGAUCGAUUGGUUUUCUGUCGGACUAGUCUAUUCUUAAAGAAGGGUAGUUUACCUAACCUAACAAUGACUUCACGGUUCAGCUAACAAGCAAGCUAACCAAAGAUAUUACCUCUGGCUACACACUCAAUGGAAUCCGCUGUAAA